CCCGGAAGCACCUACCCUCCACUUCUUUCUCCUGUUUGGUUUCUGUCUCACUUAGAGCUGUCCAGUCGCAGACUGUCUCCAAUACGCUUCCUGUCCAUAACAGAAUCAGCAUGAUUCUUCAGCAGCUCUUCCGGUCUUCCUCUGUCAUUCAGGCUGCAGUCUCAGUCUCUUUGAGGAGGAACAUUGGUGUUACAGCAGUGACAUUUAAUAAGGAACUUGAUCCUGAUCAGAAACUCUUGGUGGACAAGAUUAGAGAAUAUAGAACUAAGCGACAGACAUCUGGAGGACCUGUUGAUACUGGCCCAGUGUAUCAGCAAGAACAGGACAGGGAGCUUUUUAAGCUUAAGCAACUGUAUGGUAAAGCAGACAUGAAUAUGUUCCCUAACUUCACAUUUGAAGAGCCCAAAUUUGAAGCCAUUGAAAAACCAUAGUCCUGAAGAAAUAAUGUAAAGGUUUUCUGGUAAUUUGUCCUAGAUUAGUUGUACAACUGAUCAGAAGUAUCAGAAUAAACAUACAUUUCACAACU